UCUAAAAUGGCAGAUAGAUGUAUAGGAUUUAAGCUCCUACAAGGAAGAAUCUCUUCUUUUAGAA
rnacentral:tRNA from 1 species